GUUGUAUCUGUUCUUAUCAGGUUAAAAUAUCUGAUAUGUCCUUUAUUUGAGGACUGUAUAUUAAAUUGAUUUUUGAAACAGGGGGCUGGAAUAGGAGCUUGAUCUCUCCACCCCAUGCAUUGACCUGAUAUUGCAGUGA
rnacentral:snRNA from 1 species